UUGAAUCUCACCAGAAACACCUACUGUCGUUGGAGGACCAGGAACAAGGAAGAGAUGUGAUUCACCACCACCACCACUCUGUCUGUCUGUCUGUCUGUCUGUCUGUCUGUCUUUCUCUUUCCCCCCACGAGCCUCCUCUCCCACCAAAAACUUCUCAAGACAUCCACUACCUCCUCUCCCAGCUAGAUAGAUCCCAUCACAAAAGCAGAAUUAGCAAUGAAGAGGAAGGAAAUUGGAGAACAAGAAAGGAAGAUGGAGUCGACCAUGAAAUCAGUUGGCUGGAAGUAGAUGAAAGGGACACCUGAGAUAUUUCGUCAGAAUGCCCCACCUAUGAAUUUCUUUCCAUUUCUGGAAAAUUCAAGGAAUGUGCCAACAACUCUUAGGGACUUUAAAUCCAUGGAUUUGUUCCCUCAACAAGCUGGUUUUGGCUCCUCUGUUCCCAUAGAAGAGGUUCCGUAGAUCCAAUUUCUGUAAAUUUAAAGGCAUUGUUGCAGCAAAUGAUUUUGUUCAGUUUAUUGCACAUGGGCAAUGUGAAGAAAUCUUCCCCAGGAGAGCCUCAAAAGGCACAAAUGACCGUAUUCUAUGGCGGACAAGUAAAUAGUGUUCAACAGAAUAAUUGACAGAGAGAGGAAUCGGGUGAGUUGCAGGGAUGGACAGACUUUUAAGUAUGCGAACGGGAAUGGGAAUGUAAGUAGCAGAAAAGAAUGCUCAGUUGGCAGGGCCCCUUGUGAAUGUGAAGCAUGAGGAUGGUGAUGACUGAUGAACAAUUGCAAGUAGGCGUUACUUUUCCUUUCUAUUAUAAUUAUUUGCUUCUAUAAUUUUAUAAAUGCUCUCUGCUUAGAUGUGUUUGUGGGUGAGAAAUACCCAUUGUUCUUCAUGUUCAGCCACUCAAAAGGAGUGAGGCUUGGGAUCUAUUUUGCAUGAAAGCUUUCUCUAGCUGUUCAAAUAGAUUUUACCCACCACCAGAGCUUUGAACUCAAAGCCAGGGAUCUUGCUGGAAAACUCUAGGCAUUGUAGCUUUGGGUGCUCUCAUGUCAACCAAAAAUUGGCUAAGCUUCAAUGAUUUACCCUACCAUCUUAAGCUUGGUUGCAUUUUUCCGGAAGAUUAUUUGAUUCGGUGUAAAAGCGCUUAUUCGACUUUGGAUAGCAGAGGGGUUUGUGGAACAAGUUAGAGGGGCUAAGGGAGUGUCUUUGGAGCUGUUACAUGAGCAAGGACUUCCCUCUUCUUUUACAUAUU